rnacentral:misc_RNA from 1 species
GAGCCAAGAAUAGCAGCAACACAAAUUGUGUUCUCAUCAACCAUCUCCACAGCUUUCGCUGGAUCCAUCACAUAAUACCCAUCUCUAAGCUUCACUUCCUUCAACUCCACUUCAAAAUACCUAGCAAAUUUCUCCCAACAAACCUGAACAUUGGCUCCAGUGACAAUGUUGGGCUUAUCAUAGGGCUUUCCCUCAGCUUUUCUCUUGUUCUGCCACUUCCUCUUGAAUGCUAAUCCAGCCAACAUUAUUGCCUCUGAAGAUCCCACAGUUCCUACUCCAAUUGCAGUCUCUGAAUCUCC